UUCUGUUAUGAAAAGUUCAUUACGACAAUUAUGACUAAUUGGCAGCAUUCCAAAAUAUUCCUCAACGUUGACACUCCAUGCCACACAAUACAAUCGAAAUUUCUAGAAUAGGCAACAUUUCCGAGCAUCUCGGAGACAAGACCAACAUCACCACUCGAAUGACACUGAGGGGGAAAUAUACAGGGGAAGAAGCAAAAAUGCUAUCUUUAGGUAGUCGUUUGACGACAGACAGUUAAGUGUAGUGCACCUGUUGUAGCACUCGCUUACUCCCCCUUGUGCUCCUUAUCUUUCAGAGCAUUUCCUGUGAUUUACGAACAAUGCGUCUAACCUUUUUCUUGAAAUCGUCCCUCUUUUCUCUCCAAUCCUUCUGCAGCUUCAAUAUUUGCUGGAGACUCAUCAUUUGGACUAGAGAGCAUCGAAAUGAUGCUCAGAACUAUACUUUCAACCUGCAAGUGUCCACCGUUCGCUCGCAAGCUCAUAACCGUUGGGAUCUUCGCCAGGUGGAUGAAGGAUAGAAAUGCAUACGCGCCCAUCAGGAUAAACAUUUGGAUGCCACAUCUCAGAGGUAAACCUUACUGAUGGGGGACUAUUCGGAUAAUUCUGGGGGAAGGUCAUUAUUGCAUUGAAGUAGCCUCCAUCACUGCAGAAACAGAAGGUAUCGGGCGGGCCGAUGAUGGUGACCUGCCACUCGAACACGUUGCUAUCGUCCACAAGCCCCGCCGAGAACCCAUCCACGGGGUUCUUCGCGAGAUCUUUGAGCUGCUUCUGGAGCAGGAGGCUCGCCUGGCUCGCGGCAGUCGCCAUGGGAAGCAGAGCUCGAUCGGAUCGGAGUUAGGGUUUUGGCGAUUGGGGGGGGUGGGUCGCCGCCCUUCCUCGGGACGAGCUUUAUUUGUGGAGGCG
rnacentral:sRNA from 1 species